GUUCGAGGCCAGCCUGGUCUACAGAGUGAGUUCCAGGACAGCCAGGGCUAUACAGAGAAACCCUGUCUCAAAAAAACAAAACAAACAAACAACAAAAAAAAACUACACAUGAGCCGAGCUGACCACCUGGCUAGGAAUGCGGAGGUGACCUGAACCAAAUGCUUCUCUUCUGGUGACACACGGUACAGUAUUCCACUCCGGUGACUCCAAGUCUCUCUUGGCUCCCCCACCCACCCCCUCCCACCCUCACGUGUGUCACAUUGGCCUCUGCCUAGGAAGUGGCGUGACUGCAUGUAGGGUGUUCUCUGAGGCCAAAACAGUCUUAUGUAAUCACACCUGAAAAUGUAAGUUUUCAUCAAACCAUUUCUGGUUCUGGGACUCAGCCUGCGAUAAGAGGAAGAGAACAUGUGAUCCUUGGAUCCUUCAUUUAAAUGGGUGGUGUGGGGUGUUUCGAGAAGACCUCUCCAAAGAAGAGAUGCUGUCUCAAGAUGGAAAAGGAUGAGCAAGCCUUAGUAUGAGAAAGAGUAUCCUCCGAGGAGGAACAAAUAGAUGGUCUGGAAAGUCUCAAGGUAACCCAGGCUGGCCUUGAACUUGUUACGUUGCUAAGGAAACUUUGAACUACCGACUCUCCUGCCUCCUCCAAGAUGCUAUGACUCUUAAGAGUUCAUAACCACACCUGAUGGGAUUUUUUGUCUUUAUUUUAAGAAUGUGGUAGAGCCACUACACGGUUCUCUUACACAGGGCGUGACCACACGUUCUUUCUUCUGGUCAUUCAGGGUUAGGGAAGGGUGAGCUGUGGAGGCAGGUGCCGGAAGCAGCAGGAAACAGUAGAGGGAGGCUGUUGUAAUCACCUAAGAGGGCCACAGCUGUGAGUGCCUGCUAUGAUCAGGGGAAGCACAGAGCUUAGCGACUGAGUGAAAGGAACAGGGCUUCCUCCUUCACCAGAAGAACUCAAAGCUGUCUGAAAAGGUAGUCACAGAACUGUACAGCUGACAGUGACCACAGAGGUCAUUUUCCAGUUUUGGGGGAACCGUAUUCCAAAGAGGGUCCUGAACUCACCCCCACCCUGGCGAAAAACUGGAACUGGGGCAUGAAUUCAAUGAACUCAAAUAGGAAGAGACCAAGGUGGCCCCCAUCCCAGCACUCCAGGGAGGCUUCCUGGAAGAGGUGGAGCAGAUCAGCAUCAAGAUCUGAUAGUGCUGAUGGGUGUGGUUCACUAUCUGCUGGCUGCUGGCAAGAGAGUCACCGGUUCUAGACCAGCAUGGGCAUCGGGAUUAAAACCCUGACUAAGGGCCAGAGAGACAGCUCAAAGGGUAAAGAUGCUUGUCUCACAGUCUGGUGAUCUGAAUUUGAUCCCCAGGACCCACAUACACUUGGAGAGAACAAACUCUAUAAAAGUUAACCUCUGCUGGGCAGUGGUGGCACACACCGUUGACCCAGCACUUGGGAGGCAGAGGCAGGUGAAUUUCUAACUUUGAGGCCAGCCUGGUCUACAGUGUGAGUUCCAGGACAGCCAGGGCUAUACAGAGAAACCCUGUGUCAUGGUUUGUAUAUUUUUGGACCAGGGAGUGGCACCAUUUGGAGGUGUGGCCUUGUUGAAAUAGGUGUGACCUGGUUGGAGUAGGUGUGUCACUGUGGGUGUGGGCUUAAGACCCUCACCUUAGUUGCCUGGAAUCAGUCUUCCACUAGCAGCCUUUGGAUGAAGACAUAGAACUCUCAGCUCUGCCUGUGCCACGCCUGCCUGGAUGCUGCCAUGCUUCCACCUUGAUGUUAAUGGACUGGACCUCUGAACCUGUAAGCCAGCCCCAAUUAAAUGUUUUUUAUA
rnacentral:lncRNA from 1 species